AUGGAGCAAAACAGCACGCUUCUUCGGCGCGUGCUGCAGAAGGCAGCACGAGCAGCAAGAACCAUCGCUUACCUCCGCCCAUCUCCUCCUCCGACACCGUCAACACCCUGCCGCCGUCUCCCGCCCAGCCUGCUGGACUGCACUGACGACGACGACGGCGGGUCUCCGAGCUUCCACACGGCGGCAAGCACGCCAGCGGAGACGCCGCCGUCCGUCCACUCGAGGAUAGACAGCCCUGGCGCCGCCGACAUCGACAGCCGCGCCGCGGAGUUCAUCGAGAGGUUCCGGCGCAACGCGUCCCUCGAGCUGCGGUACUGCUCCCCGGUGACCCCCGCCAGGCCGCCCGCGUCGCCGGACACCUACUUCAACCUCUCGAGGCUGCACGGCCCGGCGCUGGCACAUGCGCGGCCGGUGUGCAGGAGGAGCUCGCCGGGGGCGAGGGCGAGCGCGAGCGCUACGUCCAUCAAUUGGCCGAGUACCACGUGCCUCGGAAGAAGGCCUACUGUUCAGGUGUAG
rnacentral:rRNA from 1 species